UACGUAGGGGGCAAGCGUUGUCCGGAUUUAUUGGGCGUAAAGAGCGUGUAGGCGGCCAGAUAGGUCCGUUGUGAAAACUGGAGGCUUAACCUCCAGCUGUCGAUGGAAACCAUCUGGCUAGAGUCCGGAAGAGGAGAGUGGAAUUCCCGGUGUAGCGGUGAAAUGCGCAGAUAUCAGGAAGAACACCCGUGGCGAAGGCGGCUCUCUGGGACGGUACUGACGCUGAGACGCGAAAGCGUGGGGAGCGAACAGG
rnacentral:rRNA from 1 species